GGACCCGCACAAGCAGCGGAGCAUGUGGUUUAAUUCGAAGCAACGCGAAGAACCUUACCAAGGCUUGACAUCCUACUAAACCUGUGGAAACACAGGGUGUCUUCGGACGAGUAGAGACAGGUGGUGCAUGGUUGUCGUCAGCUCGUGUCGUGAGAUGUUGGGUUAAGUCCCGCAACGAGCGCAACCCUUAUGACCAGUUACCAGCGGAUAAAGCCGGGGACUCUGGUAAGACUGCCGAGGUCAACUCGGAGGAAGGUGGGGAUGACGUCAAAUCAUCAUGCCCCUUACGUCUUGGGCUACACACGUGCUACAAUGGCUGAAACAAAGGGAAGCAACAUUGUAAAGUGAAGCAAAUCUCAGAAAAACAGUCCCAGUUCGGAUUGUGGGCUGCAACCCGCCCACAUCGAAGUCGGAGUUGCUAGUAAUCGCGGAUCAGCACGCCG
rnacentral:rRNA from 1 species